CAACUUGGCUACCCUAAUUCAAACACAAUUUUAAGGCACAAAUGAGGCUUUUUGUUCUCUCCCAGAGUCUCAGAGAAGAAGAAGGAAAUGACUUUCUCUAUUCUAUUUGACUUGCUGAAUUAUUGCUAUUUUGGCCACAAAUGCUCUUCCCUAAUGUUGUCCCCUAACACUUAGUGUUUCACUUUCCAUCACCCACUGCAGAUGUGCCAGUUCUGAUACAUUUCCUAGUGGGAUUGCAGCAAUGGAAGGACAACUACAGGGAUGGCGGGAUGUGACAUACAGCCUAAUUAUUCUCUGGCCUGGUGAACAGUAUGGACUGCAGGAAGUGUGCAGCAAAAUAUACUUCUCCCACCUGUACCUGAGAUUACCUGUUUCUGAAAGCCCUCCCCAGCAUGGGUCAGCAUCUUUAGAAAAAAUCCUGACAACUCAAUAGGUAAAAAAGUGGCAGACCAUUUGUUUUGAUUUGCAUUUCCUUAAUUACUUGAGAGCAUGAAUGCCUGCCCUUCCCCCCUUCCCCAUGUUAUUGGCCAUUUGUCUUUCAGGAUUCCUCUUGAGCUGGAAGCACAGCAAUGUUCAAAGGUCUUGGCUAGACCUAAAAAGGAUGGAGCUAGUGGCCUGUCUGGUGUGAAAGGAUGAGAGGUCCCACUGGCUAGUAGGUGUGGAGAUACCUACAUAAAAAAUUACCAUGUUGUAGGAGAGUAUUUCUCAAAAUUGUCAUACAUCUGCCACUUAAAUAUUUUUCAUUAUAUUCAAGACACCUGUGCUAUUGUUUAUUUAAUAUUUUAAAAAUCAAGUAAUUGCUUUUUUUCUGCUUAAAUGCUUUCCUUUAAAAAUGAAACUUUAUUCACUACUGCAAAUGGAAAAUAAGUGUCAUUUACUAUAAAUAUAAGUAAACCAUAAAUAGAAUGAGAACAAAACAAUAUUA